CCGAGUUUACAACUCCCAAACCCCUGUGAACAUACCUAUACGUUGCCUCGGCGGAUCAGCCCGCGCCCCGUAAAAAGGGACGGCCCGCCCGAGGACCCCUAAACUCUGUUUUUAGUGGAACUUCUGAGUAAAACAAACAAAUAAAUC
rnacentral:misc_RNA from 1 species